ACCUGAUCUAGGUGAACCUACUUCUGCAGGAGGAUUGGACUAGAUGAUCUCUAAAGGUCCCUUCCAACCCCUACCAUUCUAUGAUUGCUGCCUCUCAAACACAGAAGGUUUGGACAGAAGGCUAAUCUAGAGCUGUCUCCUGGUCAUCUUGGGUUUGCUUAGCCAGAUGUGGCUGAUAGCUGGUUGCAGUUGAAAGAGGACAAUCCAUCAUCAAUCCCAAAGCAGCUGUUAGACACUUGGAUGGAAACAGAGAGAGUGUGACUCUGCUGGCUUUGUCUUAGAAAACCAAGGGAAAAACCUGAAUGCAUGGACUGAUGUGAACAGUUCCACAAUACAGCUUCUGCAAAAUCUUCCAUGGACAACAUUAACCCAGUGGAAUAACGAGGAAGAAGAGAGGGAGAAAGGCAAAAGAGGUUUCUAUGGUACCUGCCUAUAAAUGCUACACUGCUCAAGCUUCUGAAUUCUUGCUGAGUAUCAUUCAGAGCUGUUCAGGAAUGGAAAAGAGGCUACUUGAAGAAUUCCUGGACCUGAUGUAAAAGAAUUUGUUUGGUUUUGUUUCUUUGUCUUAAAUUGAAAAGUCUUCUUCUAAAAAGCAAGGAGAAAAAACCCUGUCCAGGCAAGAAAAAGCCUUCCUUUGAUGGCAGAUCUAUCCUGUCUUUCAAGCUUUUGUUGCACACAGCAUUGUCUUAUCGUCAGCAAGAUUAUUGAUGGCAUAGCACAGCCUCAUUCUUCAUGACGAUCAUAAUCCAGCUGCCUGGUGAAAGCACUCCUUGACAACACUUGCCACCCUGGUAAGGUGCCAGAGGCAGCGAGGACUGACACGACUGUGGAGAAAGGGACUUCCAUCAUGGACAGGUCAGAUUGGUCCUGUGCAAGGGACUUGAAAAUGAAAAGAAGGUGCAAUUACCAGAUGCCUGGAGCACAUUUUGCAUUGCUAAUAAAAGGAAGAAAACAGCAGGAAGAGGAAAAAGGAGCAGAAUUUGCUUUUCCUUCCAACCUAUUGCAUAGAAGAAUGACUUGGACUGCACGUGAGGAGAAGCCUGGGGACGAUGCAGAAAAGGGCAUGCUGGACAGCCAGGAGACAUCUUCCCCUUCUCAAGUGGGUAUUUACUGGAGGUCUUUCUUGCUGCGUGCUGCUCCUCUGUGCUCCCAGAGGUCAAGCGGCUGCUGCUCGACUGCUGCGUUCUCGAAGAGACGGAGUCGUUUUACCGAGCGUUGGUGAUUGCAGUUGGAUGCGUUCCCUCUGCUGAUGACACCCCAGCCAGCAACGAAAAGGACACUUGUUUAAGAGACAUCCCCUUGGCGAGUAUUUUUCUGCCUGAGAUGAGAUCAGAUGAUCAAGG